UGAUCCUGGAUCGAACAGACGAGGAGCUUGCUCCUCUGACGUUAGCGGCGGACGGGUGAGUAACACGUGGAUAACCUACCUAUAAGACUGGGAUAACUUCGGGAAACCGGAGCUAAUACCGGAUAAUAUAUUGAACCGCAUGGUUCAAUAGUGAAAGACGGUUUUGCUGUCACUUAUAGAUGGAUCCGCGCCGCAUUAGCUAGUUGGUAAGGUAACGGCUUACCAAGGCAACGAUGCGUAGCCGACCUGAGAGGGUGAUCGGCCACACUGGAACUGAGACACGGUCCAGACUCCUACGGGAGGCAGCAGUAGGGAAUCUUCCGCAAUGGGCGAAAGCCUGACGGAGCAACGCCGCGUGAGUGAUGAAGGUCUUCGGAUCGUAAAACUCUGUUAUUAGGGAAGAACAAAUGUGUAAGUAACUAUGCACGUCUUGACGGUACCUAAUCAGAAAGCCACGGCUAACUACGUGCCAGCAGCCGCGGUAAUACGUAGGUGGCAAGCGUUAUCCGGAAUUAUUGGGCGUAAAGCGCGCGUAGGCGGUUUUUUAAGUCUGAUGUGAAAGCCCACGGCUCAACCGUGGAGGGUCAUUGGAAACUGGAAAACUUGAGUGCAGAAGAGGAAAGUGGAAUUCCAUGUGUAGCGGUGAAAUGCGCAGAGAUAUGGAGGAACACCAGUGGCGAAGGCGACUUUCUGGUCUGUAACUGACGCUGAUGUGCGAAAGCGUGGGGAUCAAACAGGAUUAGAUACCCUGGUAGUCCACGCCGUAAACGAUGAGUGCUAAGUGUUAGGGGGUUUCCGCCCCUUAGUGCUGCAGCUAACGCAUUAAGCACUCCGCCUGGGGAGUACGACCGCAAGGUUGAAACUCAAAGGAAUU
rnacentral:rRNA from 1 species